rnacentral:rRNA from 1 species
UACGGAAGGCAGCAGUGGGGAAUAUUGCACAAUGGGCGCAAGCCUGAUGCAGCCAUGCCGCGUGUAUGAAAAGGCCUUCGGGUUGUAAAGUACUUUCAGUCGUGAGGAAGGUGUUAAGGUUAAUAACCUUAGCAAUUGACGUUAGCGACAGAAGAAGCACCGGCUAACUCCGUGCCAGCAGCCGCGGUAAUACGGAGGGUGCGAGCGUUAAUCGGAAUUACUGGGCGUAAAGGGCACGCAGGCGGUUAAUUAAGUUGGAUGUGAAAUCCCCGGGCUUAACCUGGGAAUGGCAUUCAAGACUGGUUAGCUAGAGUCUUGUAGAGGGGGUAGAAUUCCAUGUGUAGCGGUGAAAUGCGUAGAGAUGUGGAGGAAUACCGGUGGCGAAGGCGGCCCCCUGGACAAAGACUGACGCUCAUGUGCGAAAGCGUGGGGAGCAAACAGGGAUUAGAUACC